rnacentral:lncRNA from 1 species
CACACAUGUAUUGUUACCAUCCGAUAAGUAAUUUAUUGUACCAUUUAGUUUAUGGAAAAGGGGGAGGGAGUAUGUUUUUUUUUACUCUAUUCGUAAUGUCAUUUCUAUCGCGGAAAACUGGUUAUUUUUCUAACAAUUUUAAUUAAAUCGAAAAAAAACUUCAGAAAGAUUGUCUUUUGAAUAGCAAUACAUUUUAUUUACAGAUAAUCAGGAUAUAAUAUAUACCCUCAGCACCCGACCCUUUUCUGAGUUACGUUAAUGUUAUUCAAUAGAAUAUAUUAAG